AUUGAACGCUGGCGGCAGGCUUAACACAUGCAAGUCGAGCGGGGACUUCGGUCCUAGCGGCGAACGGGUGAGGAAUGCUUGGGAAUCUGCCCAGUAGCGGGGGAUAACGUUUCGAAAGGAACGCUAAUACCGCAUACGCCCUACGGGGGAAAGGGGGGGAUCUUCGGACCUCUCACUAUUGGAUGAGCCCAAGUCGGAUUAGCUAGUUGGUGGGGUAAAGGCCUACCAAGGCGACGAUCCGUAGCUGGUCUGAGAGGAUGAUCAGCCACACUGGGACUGAGACACGGUCCAGACUCCUACGGGAGGCAGCAGUGGGGAAUAUUGGACAAUGGGCGAAAGCCUGAUCCAGCCAUGCCGCGUGUGUGAAGAAGGCCUUCGGGUUGUAAAGCACUUUAAGCGAGGAGGAAUGGCUGAGGGUUAAUAACCUUCAGCAGUGACGUUACUCGCAGAAUAAGCACCGGCUAACUCUGUGCCAGCCGCCGCAGUAAUAC
rnacentral:rRNA from 1 species